rnacentral:rRNA from 1 species
AUGGAGGGGGCUCUGGUGAGUGCGGCGGCAGGAGCCCUGAGACCCAUCCUCGGGAAGUUGUCCGCCCUGUUGGGUGAUGAGUACAUGCGGUUCAAGAGUGUGCGAAAGGAGAUCAAGUCACUCACCCAUGAACUCGCUGCCAUGGAUGCUUUCCUCCUGAAGAUGUCAGAGGAGGAGGAACCCGAUGUGCAGGAUAAAGUUUGGAUGAAUGAGGUGCGCGAGCUGUCCUACGACAUGGAGGAUACCAUCGAUGACUUCAUGAAACAUGUUGAUGACAAAGACACUAAGCCUGCUGGUUUUAUGGACAAGAUCAAGAGCUCGCUAGGGAAGAUGAAGGCUCAACAUCGGAUCGGAAGCGAGAUCCAAGAAUUGAAGAAGCAAAUCACUGAGGUUGGUGAUCGGAAUGAAAGAUACAAACAACAUGAGGCAUCCUCCAACACUAGAAACGCAGUUGUUGACCCUCGAGCUCUUUCUAUCUUCGAGCAAGCCUCAAAACUCGUCGGAAUUGAUAAACCCAAGCUUGAGAUAAUCAAACUAUUGACUGAACAGGAUGGAUGUGUUUCAGAAAAACAACAACUAAAGUUGGUCUCUAUCGUUGGUUGUGGAGGAAUGGGCAAGACAACUCUUGCAAACCAAGUGUAUGAAGAUCUCAAAGGGAAAUUCGAGUGUGGGGCCUUCUUAUCGGUGUCGCGAAAUCCAAACAUGAUGAAUCUCUUGAGGACUAUUCUUAGUGAAGUUAGUGGCCAAGAUUAUGCUAACACAAAAGCAGGAAGCAUACAACAACUCAUCAGCAAAAUCAUCUAUGUCCUUGCAAACAAAAGGUAUUUUGUUGUUGUUGACGAUAUAUGGGACGUGGAUACAUGGGAUGUUAUUAAGUGUGCAUUCCCCAUGACCAGUUCUGGGAGUAUAGUAAUCACCACUACUCGUAUGAAUGAUGUUGCCGAGUCAUGUCAAUCAUCAUGUAGUGGCUCUAUUUACAAUAUGAGGCCUCUUGAAAUGGUGCAUUCAAGGCAACUAUUUCAUAUAAGACUGUUCAAUUCUAAUGAAGAUUGCCCUUCACAACUUCAAAAAGUUUCCGAUGCAAUUUUGAGAAAAUGUGCAGGCUUACCUCUGGCAAUAAUUGCCAUAUCUGGGUUAUUGGCUACAACAGAAAGAACAGAAUGUAUGUGGAAUAAAGUGAAAGAUUCAAUUGGUCGUGCACUUGAAAGGAAUCGUAGCGUCGAAGCAAUGAUAAAGAUACUGUCACUUAGCUACUUUGAUCUUCCUCCUGAUCUAAAAACUUGUCUCUUGUAUCUGAGUAUAUUCCCGGAAGAUUCUAUUAUUGAGAAGGAAGCCUUGAUAUGGAGAUGGAUUGCUGAGGGAUUCAUUCAUAGAGAUGGCAGAUAUACAGCACACUGGUUAGGCGAGAGGUGUUUUAAUGAGCUCCUCAAUAGGAGUUUAAUCCAAGUUGCAUCGAUAAAUGAAUAUGGUGAGGUGGAGAGUUGUCGGGUUCAUGACAUAAUUCUUGAUUUCAUCGUAUCGAAGUCCAUUGAAGAGAGCUUUGUCACUCAAGUCAGUAUGCAGUAUAUAGCUCGUGGGACACAAAGCAAAGUUCGCCGUCUCUCUCUCCAAGUCGACGAGGACGGAAAUUCUAUAAGAAAGAUAGACAUGGUAUUGUCUCAUGUCCGUUCACUCAAUGUGUCUGGGUAUUCCAUGGAAAUCCCUCCUCUCGGUAAGUUUGGGCAUUUGCGUGUUGUGGACCAUGAGUUUUGCCACCAAGUGGUAAACAGCCAUCUUAUAAAUAUUGGGAGGUUGUUUCAGUUAAGGCACCUGAACCUGGGAUGGACGGGAAUAAGUGAGCUCCCAGAAGAAAUCGGCCAUCUAAAAUGCUUAGAGAUGCUGGACAUAAGAGGUACCAACGUACAAGAAUUACCAGCCACUAUUGUGAAUCUCGGAAGAUUGGUGUAUCUGCUUCAUGACAGUAGUGUUAAGAUUCCUAAUGGAAUUGAGAAUCUGCAAGCAUUGGAGAAGUUGGAAGAGGUCAAUGUCUAUCGGCAGCCAUUUAAAUUCUGUCGAGAACUUGGGCAGCUACAGAACGUGAGGGUGCUAGCCCUUGAUUUUGGAGGCGAUUCCAUCCCUUCACAGGAAAAUGUCGUAAUGGAAUACAAUGAAGCUAUUGCUUCUUCUCUUCGUAAAUUAGGCGGUCAUAUGAUGUCUUCUUUAACUCUUAGUAAUGCAACUACCUUCUUAAGACAAGGACCUUUCUGCCAUGUUCCGCUUAGCGUCCAGGAAUUAAUCAUGACCAAGAACUCACACAUGCCGCAGGUUCCCAAGUGGGUGAGUUCCCUUGUAAAUCUCCAGCUUUUGCGCCUAGAAGUGUAUGAAUUCGGGCAGGAAGAUGUGUGCAUCCUUGGAAGCUUACCGGCGUUGCUCAUUCUGGAAGUGACCGGAAUGGGGAAGGGCAGCGAUACAAGCUUAACAGUUAGCCGUAACGUUGGGUUCCGAUGCUUGAAGAAGUUUUCCUUGGGAGCUUGUGGUUGGAUGGUGUUUGAAGCUGGAUCCAUGCCUAAGCUAGAAAAACUCGAAACUGGAAUUCAGUUCAACAAACAGCCCGAAUCUCACACUGCUAGCGGUAAUGCUUUGGAUAUCGGGAUGGGAUUGGGAAACCUCCCCUCCCUCAUUACUCUCAAAUUUUCGAUAUAUGCCUGGGAUGAUAGCACGCUUGCAGCUGCACAGGCUGCCAUGGAAAGAGCAGCCGUCACACAUCCCAACCGCCCUACUCUGAUCUUUCAGAAAAUCGGCACUAGCCGCAUUGAGGUACGUACUAUUAAAUCCCAAGAUUUUACAUACUCUAUGAUCUUCCUCUUAAAUCUGUUGGCUCAUCAUAUGUUCAUGUUUCCUUCCCAGUACAAGGCUACAAGCUCCAGCUAG